rnacentral:rRNA from 1 species
UCGGGAAUUUUGGGCAAUGGGCGAAAGCCUGACCCAGCAACGCCGCGUGAAGGAUGAAGUAUUUCGGUAUGUAAACUUCGAAAGAAUAGGAAGAAUAAAUGACGGUACUAUUUAUAAGGUCCGGCUAACUACGUGCCAGCAGCCGCGGUAAUACGUAGGGACCAAGCGUUAUCCGGAAUCAUUGGGUUUAAAGGGUCCGUAGGCGGUUAGAUAAGUCAGUGGUGAAAGCCCAUCGCUCAACGGUGGAACGGCCAUUGAUACUGUCUGACUUGAAUUAUUAGGAAGUAACUAGAAUAUGUAGUGUAGCGGCGAAAUGCUUAGAGAUUACAUGGAAUACCAAUUGCGAAGGCAGGUUACUACUAAUGGAUUGACGCUGAGACGCGAAAGCGUGGGGAGCAAACAGGAUUAGAUACCCAGGUAGUCCCUGAGCGGGCUGGCAAGGCGCAU